rnacentral:misc_RNA from 1 species
GAUGAAGAACGUAGCAAAAUGCGAUAAGUAAUGUGAAUUGCAGAAUUCAGUGAAUCAUCGAAUCUUUGAACGCACAUUGCGCCCGCCAGUAUUCUGGCGGGCAUGCCUGUUCGAGCGUCAUUUCAACCCUCAAGCCCCAGUGGCCUGGUGUUGGGGACCGGCGACCUCGCCCGGGGGAACACCCCCGGCGCGUCCGCCGCCCCCGAAAUGAAUUGGCGGCCCCGUCGCGGCCUCCUCUGCGUAGUAGCACAACCUCGCAGCGGGAGCGCGACGCGGCCACUGCCGUAAAACGCCCAACUUUUUUUUAGAGUUGACCUCGGAUCAGGUAGGAAUACCCGCUGAACUUAAGCAUAUCAAUAAGCGGAGGA